rnacentral:rRNA from 1 species
UACGUAGGCGGAUAAUUAGGUCAGUAGUGAAAUCCUGCAGCUUAACUGUAGAACUGUUAUUGAUACUGGUUUUCUUGAAUACAGUUGAGGUAAGCGGAAUGUGCAAUGUAGCGGUGAAAUGCUUAGAUAUUACACAGAACACCGAUUGCGAAGGCAGCUUACUAAGCUAUGAUUGACGCUGAGGUACGAAAGCGUGGGGAGCGAACAGGAUUAGAUACCCUGGUAGUCC